GGGAUUGUGGCUCAAUGGUAGAGCACUUGCCUUGCAUGUGUGAGGCACUGGGUUUGAUCCUCAGCACCA
rnacentral:tRNA from 1 species